GAUUUCUGGUCUGAUGCGCCUGUUCCGCCACGGUUUCGUGCGCGUGUGACGGUGCGUGUCUGCCAUCCUUCUAGGGAGGCUGCUCGCCUUCAUUGGACGGGCAGUAGCUCUAGAUCUUUUACUUUGAAAAAAUUAGAGUGUUUCAAGCAGGCUUUAUGCUAUGAAUACAUUAGCAUGGAAUAAUAAUUUAGGACUUCGGUUCUAUUUUGUUGGUUUCUAGGACUGAAGUAAUGAUUGAUAGGGAUAGUUGGGGGUGCUAGUAUUCAGCGGCCAGAGGUGAAAUUCUCGGAUUCGCUGAAGACUAACUUAUGCGAAAGCAUU
rnacentral:rRNA from 1 species